AGCCCGCCCCAGCCGAGGUUCU
rnacentral:miRNA from 1 species